GAUGAACGCUGGCGGCGUGCCUAAUACAUGCAAGUCGAGCGGACGGACGAGAAGCUUGCUUCUCUGAUGUUAGCGGCGGACGGGUGAGUAACACGUGGAUCACCUACCUAUAAGACUGGGAUAACUUCGGGAAACCGUAGAUAAUACCGGAUAAUAUUUUGAACCGCAUGGUUCAAAAGUGAAAGACGGUCUUGCUGUCACUUAUAGAUGGAUCCGCGCUGCAUUAGCUAGUUGGUAAGGUAACGGCUUACCAAGGCAACGAUGCAUAGCCGACCGGAGAGGGGGGUAGGCCACACUGGAACUUAGACACGGUCCAGACUCCUACGGGAGGCAGCAGUAUGGUAUCUUCCGCAAUGGUCGAAAGCCUGACGGAGCAACGCCGCGUGAGUGAUGAAGGUCUUCGGAUCGUAAUACUCUGUUAUUAGGGAAGAACAUAUGUGUAAGUAACUGUGCACAUCGUGACGGUACCUAAUCAGAAAGCCACGGCUAACUACGUG
rnacentral:rRNA from 1 species